AGAACUGAAGAAGAAAGCUUGCAUUGCUGAUGAGAGCAAUGCAAUGACGAGAGCUGUCACUCAUUCUGAUCCAGAACAAGAUGAGAAAUCUCCCAGCACUGGAAAAGAAAGAACAAAUGAAGAGCAAAGGCCCUGUCCUUCCUGCUUCCUGCAGGUUUGUGGGCCCAAGGCUGCUGUAUCCUGAUUAUACCUGAUUUCCCCCCAGUGGGCCUUGCAUGGGGAUAAAGGCUUUACCAGCUAGGUGCGAGGAGGAAACAGCACUGCUGAAAGCAGUCACCCUCCUCCCGCAGCGCAGCUAGCUUUCUGCUUACGUGACCUGGCCUUCAGUUGAAAACAAAACAAAAACGCUGCCCAGAGAACUCCUCGACUUACCUCAGUUAUUAAAUAAUAUGACGUCUUAACGUCACGCAAAUUGGGGUUAUGUUCUUUAACCCUUCAGUUUAUGCUUACUUGUGGUAGACGGGCAGCGAGGCGGCGCCCACAGCGGCAGGUGUGCAGGCGGGGAC
rnacentral:lncRNA from 1 species